rnacentral:misc_RNA from 1 species
GUAUUAAAUUAUGAAUUUCACAUUCUGGGGUUUGAAGGGUUUGUGUGUCAAAUGCAAGGCACGGACUCACGUCUCGGCGCCUCACAAGAAAAAGUGCACAGGUGUUGAGUGGAUGAGCGGGGCGAGCACAUGCCCCCGAAGGAGGCCAGCAUCGAAACCCACGACAAAACUCGAUAAUGAUCCUUCCGCAGGUUCACCUACGGAAA